UGACUCUGGUUUCUCUUCAUAACGCACAAGUCUUUCGCCAGCAUACUACUAAAGACUUCCCGUGGGGGAGGAACAAACAUGAGUUAGAUAUAUUUUUGGCAGGCUUUGCUGUAUGGCUG